UACGGAGGGGGCGAGCGUUGUCCGAAUUUAUUGGGCGUAAAGCGCGUGUAGGCGGAUAUCCAAGCCUGAGGUGAAAGGUCGGGGCUCAACCCCGUACAGUGCCUUGGGGACUGGGUGUCUGGAGGCAGGCAGGAGGAGUGUGGAAUUCCUGGAUGUAGCGGUGGAAUGCGUAGAGAUCAGGAAGAACACCCGUGGCGAAGGCGGCACUCUGGGCCUGUACUGACGCUGAGACGCGAAAGCGCGGGGAGCGAACGGG
rnacentral:rRNA from 1 species